GAUUAAGUUAUUAAGGGCGCACGGUGGAUGCCUUGGCACUAGAAGCCGAUGAAGGACGUUACUAACGACGAUAUGCUUUGGGGAGCUGUAAGUAAGCUUUGAUCCAGAGAUUUCCGAAUGGGGAAACCCAGCAUGAGUUAUGUCAUGUUAUCGAUAUGUGAAUACAUAGCAUAUCAGAAGGCACACCCGGAGAACUGAAACAUCUUAGUACCCGUAGGAAGAGAAAGAAAAUUCGAUUCCCUUAGUAGCGGCGAGCGAAACGGGAAGAGCCCAAACCAACAAGCUUGCUUGUUGGGGUUGUAGGACACUCUAUACGGAGUUACAAAGGACGACAUUAGACGAAUCAUCUGGAAAGAUGAAUCAAAGAAGGUAAUAAUCCUGUAGUCGAAAAUGUUGUCUCUCUUGAGUGGAUCCUGAGUACGACGGAGCACGUGAAAUUCCGUCGGAAUCUGGGAGGACCAUCUCCUAAGGCUAAAUACUCUCUAGUGACCGAUAGUGAACCAGUACCGUGAGGGAAAGGUGAAAAGCACCCCGGAAGGGGAGUGAAAUAGAACCUGAAACCGUGUGCUUACAAGUAGUCAGAGCCCGUUAAUGGGUGAUGGUGUGCCUUUUGUAGAAUGAACCGGCGAGUUACGAUUUGAUGCAAGGUUAAGCAGUAAAUGUGGAGCCGUAGCGAAAGCGAGUCUGAAUAGGGCGUUUAGUAUUUGGUCGUAGACCCGAAACCAGGUGAUCUACCCUUGGUCAGGUUGAAGUUCAGGUAACACUGAAUGGAGGACCGAACCGACUUACGUUGAAAAGUGAGCGGAUGAACUGAGGGUAGCGGAGAAAUUCCAAUCGAACCUGGAGAUAGCUGGUUCUCUCCGAAAUAGCUUUAGGGCUAGCCUCAAGUGAUGAUUAUUGGAGGUAGAGCACUGUUUGGACGAGGGGCCCCUCUCGGGUUACCGAAUUCAGACAAACUCCGAAUGCCAAUUAAUUUAACUUGGGAGUCAGAACAUGGGUGAUAAGGUCCGUGUUCGAAAGGGAAACAGCCCAGACCACCAGCUAAGGUCCCAAAAUAUAUGUUAAGUGGAAAAGGAUGUGGCGUUGCCCAGACAACUAGGAUGUUGGCUUAGAAGCAGCCAUCAUUUAAAGAGUGCGUAAUAGCUCACUAGUCGAGUGACACUGCGCCGAAAAUGUACCGGGGCUAAACAUAUUACCGAAGCUGUGGAUUGUCCUUUGGACAAUGGUAGGAGAGCGUUCUAAGGGCGUUGAAGCAUGAUCGUAAGGACAUGUGGAGCGCUUAGAAGUGAGAAUGCCGGUGUGAGUAGCGAAAGACGGGUGAGAAUCCCGUCCACCGAUUGACUAAGGUUUCCAGAGGAAGGCUCGUCCGCUCUGGGUUAGUCGGGUCCUAAGCUGAGGCCGACAGGCGUAGGCGAUGGAUAACAGGUUGAUAUUCCUGUACCACCUAUAAUCGUUUUAAUCGAUGGGGGGACGCAGUAGGAUAGGCGAAGCGUGCGAUUGGAUUGCACGUCUAAGCAGUAAGGCUGAGUAUUAGGCAAAUCCGGUACUCGUUAAGGCUGAGCUGUGAUGGGGAGAAGACAUUGUGUCUUCGAGUCGUUGAUUUCACACUGCCGAGAAAAGCCUCUAGAUAGAAAAUAGGUGCCCGUACCGCAAACCGACACAGGUAGUCAAGAUGAGAAUUCUAAGGUGAGCGAGCGAACUCUCGUUAAGGAACUCGGCAAAAUGACCCCGUAACUUCGGGAGAAGGGGUGCUCUUUAGGGUUAACGCCCAGAAGAGCCGCAGUGAAUAGGCCCAAGCGACUGUUUAUCAAAAACACAGGUCUCUGCUAAACCGUAAGGUGAUGUAUAGGGGCUGACGCCUGCCCGGUGCUGGAAGGUUAAGAGGAGUGGUUAGCUUCUGCGAAGCUACGAAUCGAAGCCCCAGUAAACGGCGGCCGUAACUAUAACGGUCCUAAGGUAGCGAAAUUCCUUGUCGGGUAAGUUCCGACCCGCACGAAAGGCGUAACGAUUUGGGCACUGUCUCAACGAGAGACUCGGUGAAAUCAUAGUACCUGUGAAGAUGCAGGUUACCCGCGACAGGACGGAAAGACCCCGUGGAGCUUUACUGUAGCCUGAUAUUGAAAUUCGGCACAGCUUGUACAGGAUAGGUAGGAGCCUUUGAAACGUGAGCGCUAGCUUACGUGGAGGCGCUGGUGGGAUACUACCCUAGCUGUGUUGGCUUUCUAACCCGCACCACUUAUCGUGGUGGGAGACAGUGUCAGGCGGGCAGUUUGACUGGGGCGGUCGCCUCCUAAAAGGUAACGGAGGCGCUCAAAGGUUCCCUCAGAAUGGUUGGAAAUCAUUCAUAGAGUGUAAAGGCAUAAGGGAGCUUGAUUGCGAGACCUACAAGUCGAGCAGGGUCGAAAGACGGACUUAGUGAUCCGGUGGUUCCGCAUGGAAGGGCCAUCGCUCAACGGAUAAAAGCUACCCCGGGGAUAACAGGCUUAUCUCCCCCAAGAGUUCACAUCGACGGGGAGGUUUGGCACCUCGAUGUCGGCUCAUCGCAUCCUGGGGCUGUAGUCGGUCCCAAGGGUUGGGCUGUUCGCCCAUUAAAGCGGUACGCGAGCUGGGUUCAGAACGUCGUGAGACAGUUCGGUCCCUAUCCGUCGUGGGCGUAGGAAAUUUGAGAGGAGCUGUCCUUAGUACGAGAGGACCGGGAUGGACAUACCUCUGGUGUACCAGUUGUCGUGCCAACGGCAUAGCUGGGUAGCUAUGUGUGGACGGGAUAAGUGCUGAAAGCAUCUAAGCAUGAAGCCCCCCUCAAGAUGAGAUUUCCCAACUUCGGUUAUAAGAUCCCUCAAAGAUGAUGAGGUUAAUAGGUUCGAGGUGGAAGCAUGGUGACAUGUGGAGCUGACGAAUACUAAUCGAUCGAAGACUUAAUCAA
rnacentral:rRNA from 1 species